GCGCGGUAAAACCAGCACCUCAAGUGGUCAGGAUGAUUAUUGGGCCUAAAGCAUCCGUAGCCGGUUCUGUUAGUUUUCGGUUAAAUCCAUGUGCUCAACACAUGGGCUGCCGAAAAUACUGCAGGGCUAGGGAGUGGGAGAGGUAGACGGUACUCGAUAGGAAGGGGUAAAAUCCUUUGAUCUAUUGAUGACCACCUGUGGCGAAGGCGGUCUACCAGAACACGUUCGACGGUGAGGGAUGAAAGCUGGGGGAGCAAACCGGAUUAGAUACCCGGGUAGUCCCAGCUGUAAACGAUGCAGACUCGAUGAUGCAUUGGCAUAUAGCCAGUGCAGUGUCGCAGGGAAGCCGUUAAGUCUGCCGCCUGGGAAGUACGUACGCAAGUAUGAAACUUAAAGGAAUUGGCGGGGGAGCACGGUCAUAGCUG
rnacentral:rRNA from 1 species